AACGAACGCUGGCGGCAUGCCUAACACAUGCAAGUCGAACGAAGCCUUCGGGCUUAGUGGCGCACGGGUGCGUAACGCGUGGGAAUCUGCCCUUUGGUUCGGAAUAACAGUUGGAAACGACUGCUAAUACCGGAUGAUGACGAAAGUCCAAAGAUUUAUCGCCAGAGGAUGAGCCCGCGUAGGAUUAGCUAGUUGGUGUGGUAAAGGCGCACCAAGGCGACGAUCCUUAGCUGGUCUGAGAGGAUGACCAGCCACACUGGGACUGAGACACGGCCCAGACUCCUACGGGAGGCAGCAGUGGGGAAUAUUGGACAAUGGGCGAAAGCCUGAUCCAGCAAUGCCGCGUGAGUGGUGAGGGCCCUAGGGUUGUAAAGCUCUUUUACCCGGGAUGAUAAUGACAGUACCGGGAGAAUAAGCCCCGGCUAACUCCGUGCCAGCCGCCGCAGUAA
rnacentral:rRNA from 1 species